UCGCGCUAGACGGGGAGGUAGCGGUGCCCUGUAACCCGUAAUCCGCUAUAACGGGGUUGAAUUCCUGUCCGAGGCCCAUUUUGUGUGGGGUCUGGUCUGCAUGGAUCAGUGCUGACGGCCGGGUCCUGCGCAACGGGAGCUUCUGAACCGUGUCAGGUCCUGACGGAAGCAGCACUAAGGAAGAUUUCCCGUGUGCCGCAGGGGCGCCUGGUCUGAGCUGAUUGUGCAGUGCCCGCCCAUGCAGAUGGGUCGGAGACAGGUGCGCGG
rnacentral:SRP_RNA from 1 species